UACGUAGGGCGCAAGCGUUGUCCGGAAUUAUUGGGCGUAAAGAGCUCGUAGGCGGCUUGUCACGUCGAUUGUGAAAGCCCGAGGCUUAACCUCGGGUCUGCAGUCGAUACGGGCAGGCUAGAGUUCGGUAGGGGAGACUGGAAUUCCUGGUGUAGCGGUGAAAUGCGCAGAUAUCAGGAGGAACACCGGUGGCGAAGGCGGGUCUCUGGGCCGAUACUGACGCUGAGGAGCGAAAGCGUGGGGAGCGAACAGG
rnacentral:rRNA from 1 species